rnacentral:rRNA from 1 species
AGAGUUUGAUCCUGGCUCAGGAUGAACGCUAGCGGCAGGCUUAAUACAUGCAAGUCGAGGGGCAGCAUGGUGUAGCAAUACACUGAUGGCGACCGGCAAACGGGUGCGGAACACGUACGCAACUUACCCAAAACUGGGGAAUAGCCCGGGGAAACCCGGAUUAAUACCUCGUAACAUAAUUGAGUGGCAUCACUUGAUUAUUAUAGCUCCGGCGGUUUUGGAUGGGCGUGCGACUGAUUAGGUAGUUGGCGGGGUAACGGCCCACCAAGCCUACGAUCAGUAACUGGUGUGAGAGCACGACCAGUCACACGGGCACUGAGACACGGGCCCGACUCCUACGGGAGGCAGCAGUAAGGAAUAUUGGUCAAUGGACGCAAGUCUGAACCAGCCAUGCCGCGUGAAGGACGAAGGUCCUCUGGAUUGUAAACUUCUUUUAUAUGGGACGAAACCCUCGGAUUCCUCCGGGAUUGACGGUACCAUAGGAAUAAGCACCGGCUAACUCCGUGCCAGCAGCCGCGGUAAUACGGAGGGUGCAAGCGUUAUCCGGAUUCACUGGGUUUAAAGGGUGCGUAGGAGGGCAGGUAAGUCAGUGGUG